rnacentral:rRNA from 1 species
CACGUAGUUAGCCGUGACUUCCUCGCCGGGUACCAUCACUCAGAAAGCUUUCCACUCUUCCUGCCUUUUGUCCCCGGCAACAGAGCUUUACGAUCCGAAGACCUUCCUCGCUCACGCGGCAUUGCUCGUUCAGGGUUCCCCCACUUGACGAAAAUUCCCUACUGCUGCCUCCCGCAGGAGUCUGGGCCGUGUCUCAGUCCCAGUGUGGCCGUCCGCCCUCUCAGGCCGGCUAUGCAUCGUCGCCUUGGUGAGCCGUUACCUCUCCAACCAGCUAAUGCACCGCAGGUCCAUCUGCAUGCGGGACUCUUGUCCCCUUUUACAAAAAGAGAUGCCUCCUCUUUGCUCAUCCGGUAUCAGCUUCCGUUUCCAGUAAGUUCCUCCCGCUCAUGCAGGCAGGUUCCCACGUGUUACUCACCCGUUCGCCACUCAUAUCCGAAAGAUAGUCCGUUCGACUUUGCAUGGUAAUUAGGCAUUCGCCGCCAGUCCGUUCAUUCCCUAGAGCC